CUGUCAGGAGGUUAAUCCUUACCUGUUCCUCCUCUAGGAGGGCAGAUAGAAAAUGAUGAUCUGAGCACACAUGAUCUGCUGAUUUCUUUGUUUUUUGAUAGCUGAG